CUCGGCUUUAAUGGCAUUCCAGUUGCAAAAAAGGGCGUCAAAAUGUAGCAUCAGAGGAUAGCAGAGGGGCAUAUAGGCGUGGGAGUGGAAAUGGGGCACCGAGCCUGGGCGAGACGGCUGGGAGGAGGAGGAGGAGGAGGAGGAGGAGACAUGGCAGGCAGGGUGUCACACUGACUGGAGGAGCGCCAACUGCUCUCAGCCAGAGACAUGUCGUAUGUAAUGGAAAGUGCUGACCACCCCUGUGGGAAGUCCACAUCUCCCCUUGGCACGUCCCUGCUUGGUGCAAGUCCAGAGUCCUUGAG